ACUCAGCCCCAGGAUGUAAACCCCUACUAGAUCAGGCAAUGCUCGGGCUGGAGCUCCCUGAACUGCUGCCUUGCUGGUGCUGGUGUCAUGUUGAAGCAAGGACCAUACAGAACCUGUUACGACAUCCACAGUGACAGGAGUUUUGCAGUACCUUUUUUUCUACCAGCAUAGACAACCCAACAUUACACCAAUUACACCAACAAGGGCUUUCUUCUCUUGGUAUGGCCACACCAAUACCUGGGCAUUUCCUGAAUGCAAGCUGUGCACCUCUACUUGGGGCAAACACCUGUUAUGGUCUGAACUGGCAGAAUUGGGCUGAAGAAACUUUGUGGCGGAGUCAAGCCUGUGGCAUUUCUGACAAGAAAACUACAAAUUGCCCAUGAUUCAAACUCUAUAAGAAGACAACAUACAGGUUUAUGAACUACCUCUUGUACAUGUAUAUUCAGAGUAGUACAUUUUCUUUUACUUAUUGUCAGCUUUCACCAGACCAGUUGUCAGAAAUAGCACAUAAGUGCAGUCAUACCCAGAAAGGUGAGGAGUCAUGCGUGUGGAUGGAAUGCAGUUCAGACACUUUAAUACUCUAGACAGAACAUCAAAUGUUAAUUAAACGCUCGCUAUAUAUCACCUUAGCUUCAGUAAAUUGAUCAAAGCAACUUUGUAGCAGGGAUUGAAAUGCACUUGGUGUUAUUUUUGAACAAACCAGUGACUGGUAUACAAAGUGAAAACCAGGAUACUGUACAGACAAAAGAAAUUGUGUCCCUGCCUAGUGUAAUGUUAAGCUAUUUUAGGAAAUCUGAAAAAAAAAUGUAGUACUUAAUUACUGUAGCUGUGCAACCAAAAUAAUGAGAAGAUUGAGAGUGGAACUGAGAAGCAGUUAGAUGUUACACUAACAAGUUGGAGGCUUGCCGUCCAUCAAAGUCUGGCAAAAAAGUUACCUGCAGAGGGACAUACAAGCUCAGAAAUAUUCAUUCAGUGCCAUUACGACCUGAAUCGAGCACCUAAUACUGAUGAUGAGUGGAGAUUGUAUGCACACUUAGGUGUUGAAAAAGCAAUUAACUGAACAUAACAUGUUGUUUUUCCACGGAAGAUGAUAACCAAUGAGAGUAUGACAAAGAAUUCCAGGCUUACAGUAAAUAUAUAGAAUAAUGAGUUGUAGUUCAGAUUCUCUGAUGUUGCAUUUCAGGGCACCUGAAUUUGCUGUGCUGCUGCUUAAUCAAAGUCCAGUGUUUCAUUUGCUGUUUGCUAUGCUACCAUAACAGUAAAACCCAAGUAAUUUAUCCAGUAUCAAAUUGAACUUCACAUCUCAGAAAAGCUAAGUGUGAUUCUAUAGAUAAAUGACGAUAGCAGCAGAAUUUUGAGCCAGAAGUGGGUGCUUCUCUGAAUGGUGAUUUUGGGCCUACUUGGGCCCAGUCCCAGGGUCCUGGGAGUGCACGUUGAGAUCAGUAGGAUGGCAGCUGCUAGAAUAAAUGGCCAAUCACACAUUUUUGCAAGUAGAUUGCAAUGGUGUCUAAAAAUCCACCCUGGAAUAAUCAAUUCUCAGUGACUCUGAGACUUUAAAACUUUUUGUAAAUUCUCCUGCAACGUGUGAUACUGCAUCAAACAGCAUUCAGUAGAGCACGCUAUGAGUUAAAUGUCUUCCUCUCCUCCCCACCAUGAAUUCAAGAGAAGAUGAAAGUGAAAACACUGCUGAGGGAUACAAGAACUUGAUACAGCAGCUGGUCCUCUCUUGUCCCAGCUGAUUGCCACGAAACUAAAAAAAGUCUACGUUAAUGAAAAAGUAUUGAUGACUGCAACAAGCAACUUUAUUAUAGUAAAGCGUUUCCUCUACAUGAAUGUUGAUUUAUAAGCUGUAUAUCUUUUAUAAUGUCAUCUGAGAUUUAACAGUAAUUGACACAGUAGCCUUUCCACAACACUGAGAAAUAACACCUAAUUAUAAAUAAGCCCAAGUCUUUCGUAGAUCAUUUAUGUUAGCAUAUAUUUAGACAAAUAACUGCAGCAGGAGGGUCUAUAAUGUGAAAUUGCAGGGUGAGAGUAGUAGGAACUUGCAUCGUGUGCAGUCCCAUGCUGAAAUCCCAGCAACUGAUGAGCACCUAACCAUUAAUGUGGGAAUUAUGACCAUACAUCCCAACUACAAGAUGCCCUUUUACAUAUCCAGCUUCUUACAGUUAUGCUGGUAUCAUCAACAACCACUGGUUCAGCAGCACAUUUUCAUAUGCUUACAUGCAUACAUGCAUAUCUGACUCAGACACUACUGAAUGUUCUUUGACAAUUUCAUCAAUCCAACUGUGAAUGAUAAUUGAAAGCCUCACCAUUGUUUUCCCUUCCCCCACUUUUCACAGUCCAAAUCCAGAGGUAGUUCAGUCAUGCAAUAACUUAUUCAGCAUGCAAAAGAACAGAAUCAAUACACCUUUCUAGGAAAAGCUGCCAACACAAGUGAUAGAGCACUGAGGGCUGAAAAGCACAGAGAUGGUGCCUUUUUGAUAUUUUAUAUACAAGAGAGCUGUACUGAUGUGUCUAAUGUUGAGUAAUGCAUCAGUACAUGCUUCAAGAAGAGGAAACCAUUCCAAAAUUAAGGGUCACCUUACCCAUUUCAUAUCUCACAGAAAACUCAUCAACACAGACAGGAUGAAGGUAUAUCACAGAAGAUCCGACAGUCAAAAUGCACAAGCAGACUACCUGACCCUCUCAGAGAAGAGAUGUUACCUCAGUUUCAGUGUGGAAGACUCAAACUUCCUCAUAAACAAGGUGAUGGAUAAGUAUGAAAUCCUGUUUGCCAGCAACAGUAAAACAGCCCCAGAAGUGGAAUAGAAGUGGAAUAGUAAGCUUUCAGGAAACACAGUUAAUAUAAGAAUUCUCAUAAAAUGGUCUGUGGCAUCUAGAAAUAAGCUUCAGGUAGUGUGAUCAGGAUUUUUUUUAUGAAAUAUAAAUCACAGGUGAUGAACAUGCAUGUGAACUUGAUGGAAAAAGAGGUAGUAGCUGCUGCUGAUCAAUGAACUCUUGAAGAGAAAGCUGAGGGUUCUGCAAGCCCAUCAGACAAGAAUGAACGCUGAGGAACCAGGCUUGUUUAGCUUGGAGAAGACUCCAGGGAGACUUUAUUGCAGCCUUCCAGUACUUGAAGGGAGCGUAUAAACAGGAGGGGGAACGACAUUGUGAAAUCUAUUUUUGCUGUGAAGGCUCAGCCCUUUCACCCAACUUACCACUGACAGUAAGAUAUGAUACAUAAUGUGAGCACACAGGUUUCAGGAGAAAAUUAUGUAGGGCAGCUCAGAUGUAUUAGGUUCUUUGAGAUGUUCACACAGCUGUGGGUUUCUAAUUGCAAGGACUAGGCCGAGCAAUAAAAUAAGAACAAAAUAAUGGCAUAAAACUGACCAUUAUAGACAGAUGGCAAAGGAAGAAGUGGAGAAUGAAGCUAGUACUGGGACACAACAACACUGCUGGACACGCGCAUUCACCUGCUGAAACCAUACCUGCAGCAUCCACACCAGAAGAGGCUGCUUACCUACCUUUUCAGCUGUGACAUUUGCCUUACACAAGAACUAGGAAUACCUUGUAGAAUUCUGUGAGCUACUGUAAUUUUACAGACUAAUCAUCAGAUCUCUGUCAAUCCUCAAACAACUGUGGACAACUGUGGUCACAAGUCCACUAGUAGAGGGUUUCAAAAUGCCAUUCUUUUAUUUAGCUUUUCUGUUCUCCAUUUCUUUUUCUGGCUCUCCAAAUUUUCAUGGAAAACCACAGAAAGUCUUUCCAUGGACUAAUUGAAUGGAUGUUCCACAUUUAUACAAUAAUGUGGACAUAUCCUCAGUAAUUCCAGCCUGCUACCAUUCAGCAUUUGUGUAUAACAUCUGGGCGGCACUCAGAAGUGAGCUAGAAGAAAACUCCGAUAGGAUGACUUAGGCCUCUUUCUAGGGCUAAUAACAAUUAGCUUUGGUUUAGGGAUAUAGAUUUAGUUUUGUUUUCUAGACAGAAGUAACAAAAAAAAAAAAUCAUUCUUAGUAUAAGAAUAAAAACCACCAGUGAUGUGUUGUAUUGUGUCUGCAAAGGCUGCAGAGCCCUCCUAACAACAUCCACUUCUAUUUUUCAGUCUCUUCAUACAAUUUAAUUAAUAUAGCUGAAGAGUAAUAUAUAGUAUUUCAGCAUAAAACCACACAAAUCCUAUUCUAGGAGAUGAUUAGUUGCUCUAGAUAGAAUAGAUAAGUAUAGAUCCAUUAUACUAGUGCCACAGUAUUGCAUAAUUACAUAUCUUGACUUUAAGUUUGUAUCCAUUGUCAUUACAAGUAUCUUCCUGGAAAUAUAGCUUGAAACAAGCAAACAAGACCCUUAAAUAUGUUGGUCCAAGAAUACCCUCACAGAUAAGCAAGCUUUACAUAAACAUGUGCAUCACAACCAAAUACACUUUGAUUUAUGAACUGUAACUUAUACAUUACACAAGUGUUACCACGUACAGAUAUUACAUUGAAUUUUAGCUAAGUAUUUAUUUUCAAGAAGAAAAUACGCUGCCCUUCAGAGGUAUGAAAAUAAACUAGAAUUGAAUAAUACUGCAACAAGUCAUCAGUCAUGAUGUAUGGAUUUCAUUCUGUUUCGUGGCUUUACAUUCUCAGCUCUUAGAACAAACCUUCUGCCUUAGACUACACAGAAGAAAUUGGAGAGAUAUCUUUGUCCACAUACCAGCCAUUCACAACAUUGUUAUCAUUCUUACUCUGUGAUGCUAAUAGGUAUCUUUACCUAUUGCAAAUAUAGUGUUAGGUAAAGAAUUAAGACUAGUUGUUGGAAAGAACCCUCUUUCAAAAGAGGGUCUUGUACCAACAGGCCUUUAAGAACUCUUACAGUGGAGCAUUUUGUGACUUUGAAACACACGCCAAUGUCUCCUAGCGUUGACUUGAUUUGCACUAUGGAAAAUUCCAGAGCUUGAAUGUGAAAUAUACCCUCAAAUAAUUA